UACAGAGGGUGCAAGCGUUGUUCGGAAUUAUUGGGCGUAAAGCGCGUGUAGGCGGCUUUGCAAGUCGGGUGUGAAAUCCCUCAGCUUAACUGAGGAAGUGCGCCCGAAACUGCCGAGCUUGAGUACCGGAGAGGGUGGCGGAAUUCCCCAAGUAGAGGUGAAAUUCGUAGAUAUGGGGAGGAACAACCGGUGGCGAAGGCGGCCACCUGGACGGAUAC
rnacentral:rRNA from 1 species